rnacentral:lncRNA from 1 species
ACAAACGAAAUUGGUCAGAGCCAAGUUUCUAGCACCUUUCUAUUUUUACACAGUGCCACAUUCUUAGUUUUCAAAGAUUGAACUUCUUAAUAAUGACAUGACUUCACGUCCAUGCAGGAGCUUUAGGGUCGAUCUGGCCCAACAAAUUGCUCCGAUGCCGGCGAGGAACCUUCCGCUCGAGCUUCCAUCGCCCCUCUGCCGCAUAGAUCUGGUCGUCUCCACUCACUCCCCUCAUAGGCGGCAGCUAGUUGACGUGCUGAGCCACUCAUUGCUGUCUCCACUCACUCCCCUCGUAGGAAUAUUGAACUGUAAAAAUAUUUUCAAAUUAUUAGGCUUGUACCAUGAAUUACGUCACUUCUACGAACAUGUCAAGACACAAAGCUUUUGUGUUUGGUUAGAAAAUUAAGCAGAUAUACACGGACAUUUAAUCAACCAAUGCACAUCAAGACACAAAGCUUUUGUGUUUCUGUCCGAGUACACAUAUAUAAUCCCUCCAUCCCAAAAUUUGUGUCUUAAAUUAGUCUAGAUAUGGAUGUAUCUAAUACUAAAACGUGACUUGAUACAUCCGUAUUUAGACAAAUCUAAGAUGAGAAUUUUGGGACAGAGGGAGUAUGUCUUAGGAGAAUAUUGUAGUGGGGUAAGCAAAUAACAAAUUAUAAAUUUGGCAAGCAUGUUGGUUGAUAAAAACAGAGUAAUAAAUAAACCAAGUGAGACUAAUUCUAUGGUGUACCUAAUCAUUUUUUUCCUUUAAGAUUCAGUUGUAUAUAUGUAACUGUAGAAAAAUCUUGACAUUCUCAAGAGAUUAAAAAAAUCACCAUGUCAUACCUGCACGUAUUUGAUUGGUUUCCCUGUUCUAUUCACCUUCCCAUUCUUCACUAAUUCCUCCUUCAAGUCUCCAUCUUCUGACUGCAUUCAAUCAGAUUUGAAGCUCAUGCAUCCUCCUUUUCUUCCCAUGCCUGAGUUGCCUUCUCCUUAGGUCCACCGUUGCCCCCGACCAUCCCUCUACCCCACCCCACCC